rnacentral:rRNA from 1 species
AGUGAACGCUGGCGGUAGGCCUAACACAUGCAAGUCGAACGGCAGCACAGUAAGAGCUUGCUCUUACGGGUGGCGAGUGGCGGACGGGUGAGGAAUACAUCGGAAUCUACUUUUUCGUGGGGGGUAACGUAGGGAAACUUACGCUAAUACCGCAUACGACCUACGGGUGAAAGCAGGGGAUCUUCGGACCUUGCGCGAUUGAAUGAGCCGAUGUCGGAGUAGCUAGUUGGCGGGGUAAAGGCCCACCAAGGCGACGAUCCGUAGCUGGUCUGAGAGGAUGAUCCCCCACCCUGGAGCUGAGCCAGGGCCCAGACUCCUACGGGAGGCAGCAGUGGGGAAUAUUGGACAAUGGGGGCAAGCCUGAUCCAGCCAUACCGCGUGGGUGAAGAAGGCCUUCGGGUUGUAAAGCCCUUUUGUUGGGAAAGAAAAGCAGCAGGUUAAUACCCCGCGGUACUGACGUUACCCAAAGAAUAAGCACCGGCUAACUUCGUG